rnacentral:rRNA from 1 species
AACGAACGCUGGCGGCAUGCCUAACACAUGCAAGUCGAACGAGACCUUCGGGUCUAGUGGCGCACGGGUGCGUAACGCGUGGGAACCUGCCCUUAGGUUCGGAAUAACUCCCCGAAAGGGGUGCUAAUACCGGAUAAUGUCUUCGGACCAAAGAUUUAUCGCCUUUGGAUGGGCCCGCGUUGGAUUAGCUAGUUGGUAGGGUAAAAGCCUACCAAGGCGACGAUCCAUAGCUGGUCUGAGAGGAUGAUCAGCCACACUGGGACUGAGACACGGCCCAGACCCGGAGGGAAGAGGGGGGAGGAGAAUAUAGGAGGGGGGAGGAAGGCGUAGCACAGCAACGCGGGGGGAGAGAGGAGGCCUUUGGGGUAGAAAAGUUUUUUUCCAGGGGGUGAGAGUGACGGUACGGGGAAAAGAAGCUCCGGCUAACCCCGGG